GACGAACGCUGGCGGCGUGCCUAAUACAUGCAAGUAGAACGCUGAAGGAAGGAGCUUGCUCUUUCUGGAUGAGUUGCGAACGGGUGAGUAACGCGUAGGUAACCUGCCUGGUAGCGGGGGAUAACUAUUGGAAACGAUAGCUAAUACCGCAUAAAAUUGAUUAUUGCAUGAUAGUCAAUUAAAAGGUGCAACUGCACCACUACCAGAUGGACCUGCGUUGUAUUAGCUAGUUGGUGGGGUAACGGCUCACCAAGGCGACGAUACAUAGCCGACCUGAGAGGGUGAUCGGCCACACUGGGACUGAGGCACGGCCCAGACUCCUACGGGAGGCAGCAGUAGGGAAUCUUCGGCAAUGGACGGAAGUCUGACCGAGCAACGCCGCGUGAGUGAAGAAGGUUUUCGGAUCGUAAAGCUCUGUUGUAAGAGAAGAACGAGUGUGAGAGUGGAAAGUUCACACUGUGACGGUAUCUUACCAGAAAGAGACGGCUAACUACGUG
rnacentral:rRNA from 1 species